rnacentral:lncRNA from 1 species
AGAGGAUGAAGAGGAUCCCAUCUAGAUCUCUUUCAGAAGGGAAGCCAGACUCCUUUAGAGAGCUCGCCAUGGCCUGGCCUCUGUUCUUCCUGGCACUUCUGAGCUACUGCUCAAGUAAAUCCCCACAGCUGUCUAUGGAUGCUUGUUUGUAAUUUCUUUUUGUUUUUAACUUGUCUUUAACUUUCUAUGAUUUUAUUGUUUUUAUAUUGUUGUAAACCAUGGUGAUCUUCUAUUUUAUGAGACAGAGGAAUAUAAAUAUUUUCAUAAAUAAAAGUAUGGAGGAUUCAGUAUACACAGCCCAAGAUCAAAUCUCUUUUCAUGAUGUACUCAUCAUGGGGACAUUAUGCUUUUUGUGAAAGUCAUGAUUUAUUUCCCAUUUCUUUGUUCAGGUGUCACUUCACAAGCAACAGUGACGCAGCCUGCUUCUUCAUCUGUCGCCCUCGGCCAAACAGCUAAACUCUCCUGCACUGGCAGUCAUGGUGGGAGCUGGUCCGACUAUCAGUGGCAUCAACAGAAACCCGGACAGGCUCCUCGCUUUGUGAUCUAUAGUACCAGCACCCGGGGAGAAGGGAUCCCAGAUCGGUUCACUGGCUCUUCCUCUGGGAACACUUACUAUUUAACCAUCUCCAACACCCAGACUGAAGAUGAGGCAGUUUAUUACUGUCUUGCUUGGGAAAACAACAGUGAAACGUU